ACUCCCCCCGCGCGGCCGUUCGGAGCGGGGAACGAUGAAGGACCGCACCGGGGAGCUGCGCGCCGCGAAGGACAGUGAUGACGAUGACGAAGUCACCGUCAGUGUGGACAGGGACCGCUUCAUGGACGAGUUCUUUGAACAGGUGGAAGAAAUACGAGGGUUCAUCGAUAAAAUCUCAGAGAACGUGGAGGAAGUGAAGAGGAAGCAUAGUGCCAUUCUUGCUUCACCCAACCCUGAUGAGAAAACAAAGGAGGAGCUGGAAGAGCUCAUGUCAGACAUCAAAAAGACAGCGAACAAAGUGCGCUCCAAGCUAAAGAGUAUUGAGCAGAGUAUCGAACAAGAGGAAGGACUGAACAGGUCAUCUGCCGACCUGAGGAUAAGGAAAACUCAGCACUCGACGCUGUCACGCAAGUUUGUGGAGGUGAUGUCUGAAUACAACGCCACGCAGACCGACUACCGGGAGCGCUGCAAGGGCAGGAUCCAGCGGCAGCUGGAGAUCACUGGCAGGACCACCACCAGCGAGGAGCUGGAGGACAUGCUGGAGAGCGGCAACCCGGCCAUCUUCUCCUCUGGGAUCAUUAUGGAUUCCAACAUCACCAAGCAGGCUCUGAACGAGAUCGAGACGCGACACAGUGAGAUCAUCAAACUGGAGAACAGCAUCCGAGAGCUGCAUGACAUGUUCAUGGACAUGGCCAUGCUAGUGGAGAGCCAGGACCAGGGAUGGGCAGGGCGAUGUCUGCAUGGUGCCAGGGAGCAGCGGGGAAGGAAGGAACUCACGGCGGGUGGGCUCUGUCCCUGCUCUGCAGGGUGAGAUGAUCGACCGCAUCGAGUACAACGUGGAACACUCUGUGGACUACGUGGAGCGAGCUGUGUCCGACACCAAAAAAGCAGUGAAGUACCAGAGCAAAGCCAGACGGAAGAAGAUCAUGAUCAUCAUCUGCUGCGUGAUCCUGGGUAUCGUCAUCGCCUCCACCUUUGGCGGCAUUUUCGGCUAGACUCCCCCGACAGGACUGCUUGCGUGUGACGGACGGAGCCGUGCGUGUUGUGGGGCCGGAGCGAACCAUGCAGCCCCGGAGCCCCCAGCAGCAUUUCAGUUUCUAAUGCAUGGUUGUUUGUGAUGCUGUGUGUGCGGUGCAUCUGUGUGGAGGGAGCGCCGGCCCCGGGGCGCAGAUGGGGUGCAGGGGACGGUGAUGGGUGUGAGGGGGACCUUCGGGGCAACCCAAGCUCUCAUCACUGCUUGGCCUGGGAGGCUGCCGGGAGUGGGGGAACAGAGGUACUGUUGGGCACUGUGCUGGGCCAGGAGCCUGUCGGUGACACCCAGAGAUGAGACCAGCGUGGGGUGUUACAGGCUCCUCAGGAACACAGAGUCCAGGCAGCCUCCCCCCAGCUUUUCCCAUCACCUCCGGCCAAAGCUCUCAUGUCUGUCAGCCGCAUCUGUGCUUGCAAACCACUUUCAUUAGGCUGCUUCUCCUACGGGGUGCUUCCCAGGCCCUCCAUCCCUGCUGCCCUGCUGCAGGUGCCCGGUGCUGCUGCUGGGUGUGCUGCUGCUGCCAGUGGGUGCUGCGUGGUGAGUGGCUCUGUUCCAGCCCUGCCCAAUGGAGCAGCAUGGGGUCCAUUGCUGAAGCCUGGGGAUGGGGACAGCUGCACGGGCUCAGUGCUGUGGCCCAGCACCAGGCUGGCAGAGCAAAAGGUCACAGGGACUUUAAGGGCAGCGAGUUUCACUGGCUGCCUGCCCUGCUCCACAUCUUCCUUGUUCUUUACUCAGCUCCGGCGCACAGUGACCCUGGGUUUUACCACCCCCAGGCCUGGCUCUGGUUGUCAGUGUUUGGGAAUAGCUCGGACACCCACAGCCCCGGUGGUGCCCCCUGGGAGCCAGGAUGUGCCCAGCACUGCCCCUCCACACAGCGCCCUCGGGCUGGGGGUUGGAGGCAGGAGGGCUUGCUCCUGCCACAGUCCCUGGGAGCAGCCCUUGUUGCAUCCACCCCCACAAACUAGGAGCAGCAGCCUUCCUCCUCCUCUUCCUCUUCCUCUGUGCCACCAACUCCUGAGUAGGGCAAUGCCUGACUGCUCCUUCCAACUCCGCCACAUCCUAGCAUCUGCCUGCCACCUUCUCCUGGGACAGUGCCACGCUACCUGCCCUUCCCCAGGCCACCCAGUGAGACAUCCACACACUGUGGGUUGCAGCCAUGUGCUGCCUGCUGCAGGUGACCUGAGACUGCUGCAGCAGAGAGGCCUGCAUUGCCACCGGGCUGUCAUCCCUGUGCUCCUGCCUCAAGAUGGUUGCAGGGCUCUGCCCUUGUGUUCCUCAGGGGACUGCAGUGCUGUGGCUUGCUCACAAAGUGCCAAAGCACUGUGGAGGAGCCUGAGCAGGGCAGGUGCGUGGUGCCAAGCUUGCAGUCAUGCACUGGGGUGGAAGUUGGAUGUGAGCCCAGGCACUGAUAGCAGAAAAGGGUCACUGUGGCAGCACACACAGCUGCAGGCAGAAUGCUGUUUCCCCACUCCAACCAGGGCCAGACGAGUGCAUCCAGCCUCCACAUUCCCCAAGGGCUGAGAGGCUUGAGCUACAAGGCAGGGUAAGGGCAGGCCUUGCUGGAGCUGAGCCCUGCUCCCACCCAGCUCCAUCCAGUGCUGGCACCAGCCUUGCACAGCAUGCUUUCAGAAGGAGAGUGCAGACUAGAAUGCAGUGCUCCCUGCCACCGUCACCAUGCGGCCCCUGCUUGCAUUUGGCUGCUGAUGGGGAGUGUGUCCAGCUGUGGCUGUCAGACAUCCAAGACUGGAGCCCCCUUCUUUCACAUUCCUGUGGUGACUGGUGUGAGCUCCAGUGCUGCAGGCUGUGUGGGCACGAGGGUCUGGGGCACUGGGAUUGCUGCCAGCAGGGACAGGCUGGGUGUGAAGCUCCCCUCCAGCGUGGCGGUUGGGCAUGGACACAGCCCUUGCUUUGUGGGCAUGUCUGGCUAUGGGGCACAGAGCUGGGGCUGACGUGCCCCACUGUGCAAGUGCCUGCUCCUGCAGUUUGCACACAGUGCCCUGUUGAGUGAGGGAGAGCACCAGGCCCCCAUGGGAAGCAAUAACACUACUGCUGGUAGCACCGCUCCUAGGCAGGCAGGCAAGAAAGUUCAUCUCAGGCUCUCCCCGUAGCAAUGCCCACUGCUAGCACAAGGGGAUACUUUUCUUCCAACAAGUGGUUCCUGUGGCACAAGCUCACAUGACAUCAGGGCUGCAGCCCGCCCCAGUAAAGGCACGAGGCCCAGAAUAGUGCUGAACAGCUGACGCUUGUUCCUUGUGAGCGCCGCCACUGCCGGCAGCAGAGCCGUGAUUCUGCCACUGGCGCUUCACUGGGUCUGCGCAGGCAGCAGUGGCCGCAGGCUCUGGCACGAGGGAGGCAGAGGAGCACGCUGCCAUCGCUGCCCCGCAGGCUGUCUCACACUGCCCUCACUGUGAGGGGAGGGUGUUUUGGUGCAAUAAUUACCCCUGCACUACGGGAAGCCCCGUUCAGUUCCUUUUUACCUGCCUGUCAUUGCAUGUACAGACCAAAUCACCAACAGCGUGGUUGUGCUUUGGGGAAACAUUUCACUUUUUCUUUCUAACCUCCAACCUCAGCCCACUUGUCCUUUGGGUUCCACCACCUCUGUUCCAAGUGCCACCUGCCCCCCAGCGCCGGGAGCAUGUUGAUGCAGUAUUUUACGAGCAGUGUGGGGCACACACAGCUUGCACUUGAACUGAGGAUUGUUUUGUUUUUUUUUCUUUUUUUUUUUUUAUUUUUUUUUAGUAAGUAAUGUACUUGAAGGCUUUCCAAGCCCCCUGUGGAGUUGUACUGUUGCUGUACUGUGAGCUAAGUGUCCUUGUUUUCUAUGUGGAUCUUGACCCUGGCUUGCUCUGUCUCACUGGGCUGGAUGACACUGUAUUGUUGCCUCUUAUCUCCUUCACCCUUUCCCCCCUUUCCCACUCUGCUGGCCUGCCUUUCUUCUCCCAAAAGCUUUGGGUGCAAAACAGCUUCCCAUUUUGUGGAAUUUUUAUGUAGAAUAAACAUUUGUAACUGUA